CCUGGCGGCACUAGCGCGGUGGUCCCACCUGACCCCAUGCCGAACUCAGAAGUGAAACGCCGUAGCGCCGAUGGUAGUGUGGGGUCUCCCCAUGUGACAGUAGGUCGUCGGCAAGC
rnacentral:rRNA from 1 species